GAAAGAGAGACCCUCGAGGUGGCAGGAUGAGUCAACGUCACAGGGUGAGCAGGAGAGCCAGGACAGGCCCCUGGCAGGGCACUGAGCUCCUCUGGUGGGCCUUUGACCUCCCAGCAGGAAAAUAUCAACAGCCCUGUUUGUUCCAUGUCCUCUGGGGAAGUUUGCGAGAAAAGUCUAUGCAGCUCUACACAAAAGCACAGAGCAGUGCUCUUUAAAAGAAGUGUUGUUCUAAAAUAAAGAUCUUCUAGGAAACCGCAUCUCCAAAAGACAGUGUGGGGUGGUAGGAAGAGCGCUGAAUGGAGGUCAGACCAUUUUGUCCUGUUUUCACCAUGAAUCAUUUGCAUGAUCUUGGGAAAGUCAUUUUACCUCUGGGGACUUUGGUUUAUAAAAUGAAGCAGUUGAGCUCGAUGGGGUGGUUUUCCAAUUUAUCUGAUGGUGGAGCAACUUCUGAAAUUCCCCAAUGGUGGAAAACUUUUCUUAGGAACCCAGUAUAUAAAACAGAUAAAACGGGAGCUACACUUGUUGAAGAUCGGGUGAACACAGGGCCAGGAAUCCACUCACUCUGGGUACCUUCCCAAACCCCAGACUUCCCAGGGACCCACAGGGCUCCACACAGUGCCGGAGUCGCUGCAGGCCUCCCUCACACACUGCCAUAUUUCUUACCAGGAGAUGGCUCUCUUACCUCAUUUCCAAAAUGUACUACUUGGAGGAAAAAUUAUUGAUCAAACUAGUUUGUGAACUUGCUGAGGAAAAAUGCCUUCUGAACUCAGCUGGAGGAAACCACCAGGCAAUGUGCCCUCAUUGACCAUGCCCUGUGGUUUAUAACAAUGGGCCACCAGCAACCAUGACUGGAGACCCUCCUCCCAUUCUGCCAUUCUGCCUCCUGAAGAAUGCACUCCUAGACUAGCAUGGAAGACGUGGAUCUUUGCUACCCCCAACAUCCCAGUGAGACCCGUCCUUAAAUCAAUGAAGCAUAGCACUAAGGUCUGAAUGUUUGUGCCCCUACCCCAAUUCAUAUGCAAAAUCCUAACCCCCCAGGUGAUGGUAUCAGCAGAUGGGGCCUUUUGAGAGGUGAUCAGGUCGUGAGGACAGAGCCCUCAUGAAUGGGACUAGUACCCUUAGAAAAGAGACUGCAGAGAGCUAGCCAGUGCCUACCACCAUGUGAGGACACAUGGAAGGUGCCAUCUAUGAGGAAGAGGCCCUCACCAGACACUGCUAGUGGCUUGAUCUUGGACUUCCCAGCCUCCAGAACUGUGAGAAACAAAUGUUUGUUGUUUAUAAGCCAUCUCGUUUAUGGUAUUUUUGUUAUGCCAGCCCAAAUGAAGAAAACAGAAUAUUUUUUUCUGUUUCAGGAAAAAAUUUUCUGAAUAUUUUUUUCUGUUUCAGGAAAACAGAAUAAUUUUUAAAAUACCUAAAUGAGCAUUAAAGUAAAAUAGGAACAGUCACUUCCAAGAUGGUUGGCUACAGUGUUCUUCUCCAACUAACCCUCCCCUUGAGAACAACUAGAAAAACUGCAUAAAGUAUUUUCGAAACUCUGCUGAGGGUAUCAGAGUGCUCCCAGGGCAGUGAGGACUUGAGGAACCAAAAUCAAGAGGAGAAGGGGAUCACAGAGAGGAUGCCAGACAUUCAGGUCCACUUUCCCUGCUGAGGCAUUUGCCAAUUCAGAGUGUCGGUGGAGGGGCUGAGAAGCUGAGUAGAACUUUGGGCAGUCUCACAGGGCUGGGGAAACACACCUCAGUGUUCAGGCCCUGCUGUGCAGGAGGGGGCCAGGCAAGCACUCCAGACUUUCAGGUGGGGCAGCGGAGGGGAUAUCCCCAGGCAAAACACUGAACCAGAAAUGGACCCAUCUUCACAAAGACCGAAACCAGCUUUGAAUCAGCUCAUCCAGUCUGACCUAAGACAAUCAGCCCCUGGCCUAAAUGCCUGCCAAAAGCAAAAGUAAAUCCUCUGCAGGCAGGCGGAUAACAUCAUCUAGUACCUCAGAUUAUAACAAUGAUGUUGUAUUUAGAAUAUCUGGUAUUCAAAACAGACAGAUAGGUGUGAGACCCAAUUUGGGAACUGGCCCUGGGAUCUGGUUCAGCAUAUGAUUUCUCAUGAGGAGGGCAGCUCUUUGCAGAGGGGCCCAUGUGAUGGUGCUAACAGUGUUAGCUGCGGUGCAGAGGAUGGUGUGAGCUGUGCAGACACUCUCUCAUCUUCUCCAAACAACAGCUCGGGUGUCGCUAUUGUGAUCUUUCUCAUUUCACAGGUGAGAACACAGGCUGGGGGGUUUGACUUACGUCUAUCUGACUACAUAGCCUGCUUCUCCGCAGGGGCUCUUAUUCGUGAAUGUUGUGGGGUGACAGGCUCAAGGAAGAUACUCACUCUGCGACUUAGCUUCAGGGCCUGGCUUAAGACUUGUUAAAGGAAACACUCAUUUAUCGGACGUCACAUGCAGAUAGCUCCUGGGUUUAAGAGGUAUAGAGCACCACAUCUGCAGGGGCGGCAUGUCACACCACUUGGCUGGAGCUCCAGUGUCAACUUGCAGACAGCUGUUAAUGCUGAGCAACGGUUGCCUGAACGUGGGACUGAAUUCCUCCUCGUCUCCUGGGAGGCCAGCAUGGAAGGUGAAGCAGAUGCCUUCACACCUCUGGGACCAUGGAAUGGGGCCCCAGCAGUAGGUUUCCCAGGCAUGCCCCCAGGGAGUCCAAGCAGAAACCUGGAGCCCCGAGAAAGCUCUCUUAGGAAGUCACUGGGAGCUGCAGGAUGUUCUUAGCAAGCACCUCAUUCAGAGGGUUUUGAAUUGGGCUCCUCGGGCCCUAGAAGUUCUUUGGAGCAAGGUGGGAUGGGGCAGGGGAAAGGAGACAGGAGGGCUCGGCCCUGCCCAGCCCCGGAUGAGCAGUAUGUUUCACCCUGAUCUGCUUUUUACAUUGAUGUUACAUGUAAGAUUUCAUUGUUUAAAAUGUUUAACUUUUUUUUAACUUAAAGAAAGAGUCCAACUCUUUUUAAAAAAAGCUGCAAGAUGGCCUUUCUGGUCUAAGCUUAUUGGAGAGAUGAAUAUCUCAGGCCCAGUGAGGGUAGCUGAUGUCUCCACACACGGAGACAAUGGCAGAGCCGUGAGCGUGGUUUUUCCCGACGACUUCCCCUGCCCUGAGUCAGGCCUGUAAAGACAGUACUAAAAUAUACACUGGAUGGUGUGUGUUGAUGCUGAGCCUAGAAGACACGCCAGAUUGUCCUGUACCCCAAACAGAAAGUAGUGACAGCCAGGCUCCAGCGGCAGGUACGGGCCAGCUAGUUAUGACCGUGUUUUAAUAGCAGGGCAGGGUUAAGGUCAGGAAGUUCUCUUCCUCUGAAAUAGCUGGCCCCACAGCACAAUGCCUGCAGGUCUGAUCCCGAAUGCCUCAAGGCAAGAGGCGGCUUCCUCCUGGCCAGGACCCGCCUGGUCCUCAGCCUCCUUUGCUCUUCCCUUCCCUGAACCCUUUCCCAGAGUGAAGUGGGGGCAGGGGUCACCAAUAGAGACUCUUCUAGUUCUUAUUUCCCCUUCCAGAGCCCUCCUCAGAACUCAUCGGUGACUCUCAACAAAAUACUCCUAAUUUAACUUUGGGAGUAAUGAAAUCAAUCUGGGUAAAAUACCUAUGCAUUUUAGGAAGAAGAGAGAGCAUUUCGGUGUCUCCUCCAUCUUCUGUGGGUCGGGGCCUGCUCAGGCGGCCAGAGCAGGCACCUCAAGGAGAAAUGCCUCAGCCUGUGUGGAGAUCACAAAUUCCAAAAACAUUCUUCUCCCCACAACUUUUUCCCCUUUAAUGACACUUGCCAUAAAUUGCCAGCUACUUUAAGUACUUAGGGCUGACUGCUUUUCCUUUUCCCAGCCGCCACCCCUUCUGAGGGCAGCCCUGUGUCUUCUCUUCAUUUCCAUCCCAGCACACCACCCUGCCACCCGGGCACCAUCUUGGAUACUCCAGUCUCCUCAUUCCCCACUUCCAGUGUAUCGCCCACUCAGAAGUCCUUCUUGAGUCCUUUCCCUCUCCUCCACCCUCCUACCAGGGCUUUAGCUCAGGGGCACCCUCUUUCACCAGCACAUGCCCCUCUCCAGAUUGACUGGCAGGUGCCCCCUCCAUGGGGCAGAGGUAGAUCACCAAGCUCUCAUUUGGGCCACGGGCUGGCCUCCCAGCACCUCUGCAUCGAUGCUCAUCCGUUCUGCCCAUCACCAGGAUACCGACUUCCCCUCCUGUGUGCUGGUGUCACGCUUUGCCAGCAUACACGACAGCAGAGGACACAGACCUGGACAUCACUUCCCGGGUCAUAUAGACCAACUGGGGAGACCAGCAGCAGCCAGGGAGAAACACACCUGUCUCUACCUGUGGCUGUGCUCCAUCCUCUAGAUCAGGAGGCCGGGUGUCCUUGAGGAGGGAGGCUCAGAGGGGUGAAGGGGAGAGUUCAGCCAGGUGGCGAGGGGAGGGGAGAUGCCAAAGGUCUGGAGGUGCGCAUGUGCCCUGCCUGAAGGGGGAGGCGCGGUGAGUGGAGCACAAUGGCCGGGGGGAGCCUGGUGAGGACUGACACUGGUGAGGACAUGCGGGAGCUGGUGUAGGUUCUGGAACAAUCCAGCAUGAGGCCCAGGGUAUGGACUUGGGGUCCGACUGCCUGGGUCCAAAUCCGGGCUCUGCCCCUCACUAGUCUGUGAUUGGGCCAGAGCCUUCACCUCUCUGGACCUCUGUUUCCUCACUGUAAAGUGGGACGGUGUGAUUAUAGACAUCUUGCCUUCAGGGUUGUGUGGGGAGAAGGAGUGAACUGCGGAAAGCCUCUAGCAGACGGCCCACUGAACCGUGAGCGCGGUCCUGCUGACUGAGGGGCUCUGCGCAGCCUCACGGCCUCGCUGUGCUCUCAAGGCCCCUCGUGGUUGUGCGGAGAUCACAGCUAUGGAGGCGAGAGUGGACGCCGGAGUGCAGGUGGGGCUGGUGCAGACCUCCAGGUGCGGGUAACGGGGACUGGCCCGGGGUGGUGACGGGGGAGAUGCAGGGAAUGGGCAGACAGGAGAGAUACUUGGGGCAAGAACAAACAGGACUUGCUGAUGGAGUUCGUAUGGGAUGGGGGUGCAAUAAGGGACAUUGACCCUCAGGUGUGUGGGCUUGGAAACUAGGAGUGUGACGAGAUUGUGCAUCCGAGUAGUUUCUGUGACUUGCCCAAGGUCACACAAGGUGUAGGUGGCAGAGCUGGGGUUGUUCUGACAACAAGGUGCGGUUCUUUCCUCUGCACAAGCCGGCUUCCUGGGAUCGUGGCUCUUCUGGGGAGAGGGACCUUGGAGAGCGCCUGCCUUCUGGCAGGAGAAUCUCCACUGGACAAGACAGAAUCUGGAGGUCAGGUGGUUUUCUGGAACGCACACAGCCAGGGAGGGGGAAGCAGGCAGGGGCUGCAUCCGGCUGCCUGGGGUGGGCAGGCACUCUCUGUUCCAUGCCACACAGAGAGUCCCCAAGGCCUUUCUGAAAAGCCCUUCCCAGCCCUUCCGUGAUAAACAACCUGCUGUCCCCGGCUCCGGGAGGGAAGAAUCUAAGGGGAGACGCUCCUCCGUUAGUCACGCAAGCUUGCCUGGGUGGUUAGCACAACGAAGCCGUCAAGCCACUAGGCAGGAAGGGCGGGAGCUGGCGUUUCAAGCACCGCUGCCCACCCGAGGGAUGUACAGGGUAGCAACAGCCCACGCCGGGGGUGGGGAGCAGCCUGGUCACCCACAGGAGCUUGUGAGGCCCGAGGAGUGUCAGUCUGGCAAGGCCCCUGCCCCAGCUUUUCAUUUAUGAAACAGAGCAUGACCUCCAGAACUCACUGGGAUUCUGUAUGACGGAGCUCCCCGCACUGGGCGAGCAGGGUGACCCUGUCCUCCAUCACGGCUCUCUCACUGUGACGCCGACCCUCGGUCCCCACGCUCGGCUUGCUGUAGAACGUUUCCUCUCUCCAGGUUGUCAUGACAAUUUUCACUGAGAAGCUGUUUCUGGAGAGGGAGCAAAAAAAGAAACAGGGGGAAAUGCUUAUUAAAGCCAGGCCUAGUGAGUCUGAGGAUUUCAGUGGUGUCAAUACAUUCUCAGUGGCUUCUGAAGAAAAAGUGGAAUUUCUGUCCUCUACACCAGCUGGCUGCUAGGAACUUUGCUGUUAUAUGGAGGCAAUGCAUGAAGUCCAGAAUCCAUUACAUUAUACUAAUUAUAGUAAUAAUGAUAAUAACAAUUAAAUGUGAGCCUUCAAAGGCAGGUCCCCUCCGGCAGAAUCCAUUAAGGAGAAUGGGUGUAAUUAUUCGGGCAGUGGAGGCACAGUGCAAUUUUAGGGGUGGUCAGUGUUAUCCUGAUAACAAUCCCAUUCUCUCCUCCUUCGUCACUGGCCAUCUGGCCUUCCAGUGUCUUCUCCCCAGAUCUCAACCAUCUGUCCAUCAAUGUCUCACUAAUUAUUGCAAACAAUUCUGUGUAAAAUGAGAAGAAAGUAAAGGUUAACUUUCCCAUUUUACAGAUUAGUCAUUGUGUUCCUGAACAAACAGUGAGGAAACCCAGGGGAGGUGACCCCUCGGUGAAUGUAUCCUACAGAAGAGCCGGACCUGGAACUCUGCUUGAGCAAGCCAGUGUGAAAAUUACAACAGCUUACUGAGCCCUGUGCAGAAGCUGAUACUGACAGUAUGGAGGCUUCCUGCUAAAGGCCAGCAUCAGCUUGUCAGCCACACAGGUGAGGCUGGGAGAGGAUCCUCAGUCCUGAUCAAGCCUUCAGAUGAGAUCACAGCCCUGGCUGACAUCUGACUGCAACUUCGUGAGAGACCCUGAGCCAGAGCCCCCAGCCCAGCCACUCCUGAAUUUCUGGUCCACAGAAACUGUAAGAGAUGUAAAUAAAUUAUUAUUGCUGUUUUUAAGCCACUAAA
rnacentral:lncRNA from 1 species